GAGAACCACGUCAAGCAAAGAAAGAAGAGCGUGUGAGCUUUGAACUUUUGCGGGGGGCCCUUGAACCCAUUGGCAGGCAAGACGACAAUAGUACCUUCAAUGCGCCAGCGUGAAAAAGUGUUCGCAAAUGGGGUCUUUUCCUCCCGUCCAAAUUCAGUCUCAAUCCAUCUCCAAAGAAGAAUAUAAGAUGAUCCUGUUAUUCUGUAGAUGAUGUUUGAAACUUGAUUCUCCAUGAGAUAAAAGUGAGGUACCGACACUGCCAAUUAAAGUUAAUCCCACCUAUCUCACGGAGCUGUGGACUUUGAAGUGAAAUCAAAUUUACCCUGAAGUAAAGCAAGGAGUUGCCCGGGACCGGAGUUUCUGCCUGGAAAAUAAAUUCCCACCGUUUUAUAGCAAAAUUCAACGGAUGUGAAUCAGAGCCUCGUGGUGACGACAGGCAUAUCAUUGGGAGGGACUGCAGCUGAAGUUAUGCUUAACCCAGAAGCAGAAUGGAGCUAAUUCCCUCAGAUGAUUGUCACAAAAUUACAAACUUCGGGGUGCAAUGUUUUAUCAGUAGUCAAGACCCGGAAACUCUAUAUAAUGUGAAACCUCGCUGGUAUUAUCAAUUUGUGCCCUAAAACUGCAAAUAUGUUUUGUACUUGGAGGCCCACGUCUUCAUGUUUGAUUUUCACCACAUGGUUAACUCCUGCUUACACAAGUUCCUGUUCCACCUCUUUCCUUCUCCCUUCCCCUUCCAUUUUUUUUUCUCCCGUUCUUUUAAGUCUUCUCAUUCACAAGUCCCGUUGGUGUGUGACGCGUGAGAAAGUGAGUCAGAGAGAUAGGGGAAGAGAUAAGAGCUCACUUCCUCCACGAAAUUGUAAUGAUGGCUAACCACUCAGGCAGCAUGCAGCUAAGCUCAAACGACCUUGCUUCAAUAAAUACCAAAAUAUCUACAUCGAGUGUGAGAGAUUCGUGAUUAUCUUCUCUAUUAACGAGGACCCACUGGGUUAACUAUCUAUCACAUAUUGCAUCAUCAUCAUCAUCAUCAUCAUCAUCAAAUGGGAAGAAAAGUUGUAAAACUUUGAAAAAAAAAAGAGAGAACAAAAAAAAAAGCAAAGGAAAUUGUGAAUGGUUUAGUAUGCGUGUGCUUGUGUAAUUUCAAAAAUACACUUCUCUUCAGAAAUGCAA